AGAUUUUGGUAUGUUUGUCUUGUUUCUCGCGUCGCUGGCAAGAUGACGGAGGUCAUGACCAUUCUUUAAAAUUGUGCUUAUAGCCUACGGCGGGCUUUACGGUAUGUGAGCAACAAAAGAGGGAGAGUGUGUAUGAAGAAGAGAACCAGAACGGCAGAGGAAGAGAGUUCGUAUGAAAGUUUACCUCAUGAUUCUAUUAUCUGAUUAGUCAAUUAUUUUUAUUUUUUUACUAACUAAUCAAACAAUAAUUUUUAAAUUAUGCUACCAUAACUUAGUUGAAGGAUG